rnacentral:lncRNA from 1 species
UGGGGUGUAGGUAAGUCUCUGUAUUGAGCACUGGAGAGGUUUUUACCCAAGGGCUUUUUUUCUGUUCUCUGUAGCAUUUUGCUGUCAGCCACCCCCUCUUUGCAAGCUCCACACCCUAUCUUCAUGUUUCCUCAGCCUCCUGGUGUUCCAAGACUAGUUUGUCUUAGGGAUAAGUCUGUGCCGACCUCAGCCAGCCUCUCUCCUAGCACUUAGAAGUUUGUCCCGUGCUCGCUUGGACUCUGGCAAGGAGCUGUUACUUCCUGUGAGAGGAGUUCUCUGAUUCUUUGGAGUUCUGAGUUUGAGUUGGAGGCUGGUGAAGAAUCUGCUUACUGGAACUGAAACCUUGGACUUGGUGAGACAGUUCUUCAAUCUCUCCCUUUGGACUGACACCUGUUUCAUCCACGGUGUACCCUCAUGUGGCUUUGAAGUCCAAAGGCUGAGGCGCAUAGUGUGUGGCACACGGGGCCUGGGACGCCAGUUGUUACGGGAGAUGCGGUUGUGGCCUGGUGUCGGCGUUCACACGCAGCGGCAAGACGUCGACGUCGCUCAUCUUCAAAGGUGGCGCCAUGGUUAAUGUGGGUUCGCCAGCUGCUUCUGACAGAGGCAGCGAGUUCUAGUUGCUUUGGUGUAAUGCCAGCCCACUUCAAGUUGGACUUUAGCUGAUCCCUGAAUCCUUUCCUUGGUCGGCCUUGUUCCCUGAGUCCAGCCGACAGUUCACCAUAGAAUACCUGUCUUGGUAUUCGCUGUGAGUCCAUGUGGAUGACGUGUCCAGACCAUCGUAGCUGGGUUCUGAGGACCAGGACUUCGAUGCUGGUGGAGUUGGCUCUGUCGAGGACUUCCUGAUUGGUGAUUCGGUCCUGCCAUCGGAUCCUCAUGAUUGACCGGAGGGAGCGUUGGUGGAAUUUCUCCAGCUGUUUCAUGUGCUUCCGGUACAGUGUCCAUGUCUCGCAACC